AUUGAACGCUGGCGGCAGGCCUAACACAUGCAAGUCGAGCGAGAGGCGGACGGGUGAGUAAUGUCUGGGACACUGCCUGAUGGAGGGGGAUAACUACUGGAAACGGUAGCUAAUACCGCAUACCAUCAGAUGUGCCCAGAUGGGAUUAGCUAGUAGGUGGGGUAACGGCUCACCUAGGCGACGAUCCCUAGCUGGUCUGAGAGGAUGACCAGCCACACUGGACCUGGGACAGGGUCCAGACUCCUACGGGAGGCAGCAGUGGGGAAGAUUGCACAAGGGGCGCAAGCCUGAUGCAGCCAUGCCGCGUAUGUGAAGAAGGCCUUCGGGUUGAAAGGCACUUUCAGCGGGGAGGCGUUACCCGCAGAAGAAGCACCGGCUAACUCCGUGCCAGCAGCCGCGGUAAUAC
rnacentral:rRNA from 1 species